GUCUUUUUGUUAAUAAUUUAAAGUCUAAUCUGCCCACUGAUAUAUUUAUUAAAGGGCUGCAGUAUUUUGACUGUACAAAGGUAGCAUAAUCAUUAGUCUUUUAAUUGGUGACUUGUAUGAAAGAUUGGAUGAAAUAUAAACUGUCUCUUUUAUAAAAAAAAAAUUGAAUUUAAUUUUUUAAUUAAAAAGUUAAAAUUAUUUAAAAAGACGAGAAAACCCUAUAGAGUUUUAUAAUUUAUUUUGUAAAUAUUUUUAUUUUUAUAUUUUUAUAAUUUUAAAUUAUUUUGUUGGGGUGAUAAAAAAAUUUAAUUAACUUUUUUUAAUAGUUUACAUUAAUAAGUGAUUAAAUGAUCCAAUUUUAUUGAUUAAAAGAAAAAAUUACCUUAGGGAUAACAGCGUAAUUUUUUUUUUUAGUUCAAAUAAAAAGAAAAGUUUGCGACCUCGAUGUUGGAUUAAGAUAAAAUUUAAAUGUAGAAGUUUAAAAUUUUGAUCUGUUCGAUCAUUAAAAUCUU
rnacentral:rRNA from 1 species